AUUGAACGCUGGCGGCAGGCCUAACACAUGCAAGUCGAGCGGAUGAAGGGAGCUUGCUCCUGGAUUCAGCGGCGGACGGGUGAGUAAUGCCUAUGAAUCUGCCUGGUAGUGGGGGAUAACGUCCGGAAACGGGCGCUAAUACCGCAUACGUCCUGAGGGAGAAAGCGGGGGAUCUUCGGACCUCACGCUAUCAGAUGAGCCUAGGUCGGAUUAGCUAGUUGGUGGGGUAAAGGCCUACCAAGGCGACGAUCCGUAACUGGUCUGAGAGGAUGAUCAGUCACACUGGAAGUGAGACACGGUCCAGACUCCUACGGGAGGCAGCAGUGGGGAAUAUUGGACAAUGGGCGAAAGCCUGAUCCAGCCAUGCCGCGUGUGUGAAGAAGGUCUUCGGAUUGUGAAGCACUUUAAGUUGGGAGGAAGGGCAGUAAGUUCAUACCUUGCUGUUUUGACGUUACCAACAGAAUAAGCACCGGCUAACUUCGUG
rnacentral:rRNA from 1 species